UCUCGCGCAUUCGAUUAGAGUUUGAUCCUGGCUCAGAACGAACGCUGGCGGCAGGCUUAACACAUGCAAGUCAAACGCCCCGCAAGGGGAGUGGCAGACGGGUGAGUAACGCGUGGGAAUCUACCCAGCUCUACGGAAUAACUCAGGGAAACUUGUGCUAAUACCGUAUACGUCCGAUAGGAGAAAGAUUUAUCGGAGUUGGAUGAGCCCGCGUUGGAUUAGCUAGUUGGUGGGGUAAUUGCCUACCAAGGCGACGAUCCAUAGCUGGUCUGAGAGGAUGAUCAGCCACAUUGGGACUGAGACACGGCCCAAACUCCUACGGGAGGCAGCAGUGGGGAAUAUUGGACAAUGGGCGCAAGCCUGAUCCAGCCAUGCCGCGUGAGUGAUGAAGGCCCUAGGGUUGUAAAGCUCUUUCAACGGUGAAGAUAAUGACGGUAACCGUAGAAGAAGCCCCGGCUAACUUCGUGCCAGCAGCCGCGGUAAUACGAAGGGGGCUAGCGUUGUUCGGAAUUACUGGGCGUAAAGCGCACGUAGCGGAUAUUUAAGUCAGGGUGAAAUCCCGGGGCUCAACCCCGGAACUGCCUUUGAUACUGGGUAUCUCGAGUCCGAGAGAGGUGAGUGGAAUUCCGAGUGUAGAGGUGAAAUUCGUAGAUUAUUCGGAGGAACACGGA
rnacentral:rRNA from 1 species